rnacentral:rRNA from 1 species
GACGAACGCUGGCGGCGUGCUUAACACAUGCAAGUCGAACGGAAAGGCCCUGCUUUUGUGGGGUGCUCGAGUGGCGAACGGGUGAGUAACACGUGAGUAACCUGCCCUUGACUUUGGGAUAACUUCAGGAAACUGGGGCUAAUACCGGAUAGGAGCUCCUGCUGCAUGGUGGGGGUUGGAAAGUUUCGGCGGUUGGGGAUGGACUCGCGGCUUAUCAGCUUGUUGGUGGGGUAGUGGCUUACCAAGGCUUUGACGGGUAGCCGGCCUGAGAGGGUGACCGGCCACAUUGGGGCUGAGAUACGGCCCAGACUCCUACGGGAGGCAGCAGUGGGGAAUAUUGCACAAUGGGCGGAAGCCUGAUGCAGCAACGCCGCGUGCGGGAUGACGGCCUUCGGGUUGUAAACCGCUUUCGCCUGUGACGAAGCGUGAGUGACGGUAAUGGGUAAAGAAGCACCGGCUAACUACGUGCCAGCAGCCGCGGUGAUACGUAGGGUGCGAGCGUUGUCCGGAUUUAUUGGGCGUAAAGGGCUCGUAGGUGGUUGAUCGCGUCGGAAGUGUAAUCUUGGGGCUUAACCCUGAGCGUGCUUUCGAUACGGGUUGACUUGAGGAAGGUAGGGGAGAAUGGAAUUCCUGGUGGAGCGGUGGAAUGCGCAGAUAUCAGGAGGAACACCAGUGGCGAAGGCGGUUCUCUGGGCUUUUCCUGACGCUGAGGAGCGAAAGCGUGGGGAGCGAACAGGCUUAGAUACCCUGGUAGUCCGCGCUGUAAACGGUGGGUACUAGGUGUGGGGUCCAUUCCACGGGUUCCGUGCCGUAGCUAACGCUUUAAGUACCCCGCCUGGGGAGUACGGCCGCAAGGCUAAAACUCAAAGGAAUUGACGGGGCCCCGCACAAGCGGCGGAGCAUGCGGAUUAAUUCGAUGCAACGCGUAGAACCUUACCUGGGUUUGACAUGGAUCGGGAGUGCUCAGAGAUGGGUGUGCCUCUUUUGGGGUCGGUUCACAGGUGGUGCAUGGCUGUCGUCAGCUCGUGUCGUGAGAUGUUGGGUUAAGUCCCGCAACGAGCGCAACCCUUGUUCACUGUUGCCAGCACGUUAUGGUGGGGACUCAGUGGAGACCGCCGGGGUCAACUCGGAGGAAGGUGGGGAUGACGUCAAGUCAUCAUGCCCCUUAUGUCCAGGGCUUCACGCAUGCUACAAUGGCUGGUACAGAGAGUGGCGAGCCUGUGAGGGUGAGCGAAUCUUGGAAAGCCGGUCUCAGUUCGGAUUGGGGUCUGCAACUCGACCUCAUGAAGUCGGAGUCGCUAGUAAUCGCAGAUCAGCAACGCUGCGGUGAAUACGUUCCCGGG